CUUUGGUUAAAAUUUCGAAAGAUUGGAAUUCUGCACAAACUAAGAGUACUGAAGACAAUGCCAAAGAUUUCGACAUAAAUGAUGGUGAUCCAUCUUUAGACAAUUGGUUGGAGUUACAAUGCUUCGCUUCUGAGUCUGCUGGUGAAGAAGCAGAGAGCAUGGAAGCUUCGGUGUGCAGUCGGAACAUGUUGGAAACAUCAAAAUGAAGCCAGAAAAGCAUAAGGAGGUGGGAAGGCAAUAAGGAUGAUUGUACUUACCCUUGAUUUAUUUUUAUUUUUCAUCUUGAUUGGAAUCUGGAAAGGAUGCCAGGCAAAACUCGACAUUUUGCUUUACUUUUGCGCUUGGAAUCUCCCUCCAGUGUUCACAAACUGACGAACCAAAGGAGUUCCCUUCUUCCUUUGCGUUGCUUUCAUUUGCUGUCUUGCUUACAUUUGCCCUUCACUUGGUUGCAUUUUUUAUCUGCCAAAAACAUGCCAGAACUUCCAUAAUGUUAGAAAAAGUUGCUCUGCUCCUAGCCGCAGCUGCAUUUUGCCAUGCCAUUACAUUUGCUUUUCCGUUGAACCUAAAAUUUGCUACAUGGACUCUAUGUUUCCUUUCCUUGUUUGUUAUAGUGAUUUGAAAAUUCUUGUGUGGAAACAUUCAUCCAUGAUUCUAGUAGAGCUAGUGCAUAUAUAGUUGUUAUGUAUGUACUUUAUCAAUAUG